rnacentral:lncRNA from 1 species
AAAAAGUUUAAUCCUUUUUAGAUAUUAGAAAUUACGGUACGUUCUUUCCAAUACAAAAGUGUAGUGUAAUGUAUUGUUUCCAAACUGCGUUACCCACUCCAGACAGCAGAUGGCGACGAGCGUCUUUCAGGUGAUGAUUCUCCGUGACGUGUAAUGGACUGGACGGACGCUUCUUCAGGAACAACAACGCGGCUACUCUUUCAACCACCUCGGUAGCUUGCUAGCCAACAUAAAAGUGAAAGAUUGACGCUUUAGACCAUCUUAAUGUACAUGAUCUAAUCUCAGUGUUUUAAACACAGUUCUGUUGACGUAUUAACUGGUUAACUGUAACCUAAUUUGCAAACUUGUUAAAGAUUGAUGCUGAGCCUAGCACUAGGCUAUUCGCUAAUGCUAACUCGCUAGCUAACAUCCCUGACCAUGAGUUCAUUAAAGUACUCAUCCCCUGCUAUAGAAGAGGAGGUCUGCUGUUUGCAGAAAGAAGCUCUGGCAAUGAACAUUGAAGAAGAGGAUGAGGUUACAGUGAAAGAAGAGAAAGAACCUUUUAGAAUGAAAAAGGAGGAAGAGGAGACUGUUAUAGUGAAAGAACCUUUUAGAAUGAAAAAGGAGGAAGAGGAGACUGUUAUAGUGAAGGAAGAAGAUGCUGUUAUGGUGAAAGAACAUUUCAGAAUGAAAAAGGAGGAAGUGGAGACUGUUAUAGUGAAAGAACCUUUUAGAAUGAAAAAGGAGGAAGAGGAGACUGUUAUAGUGAAGGAAGAAGAUGCUGUUAUAGUGAAAGAACAUUUCAGAAUGAAAAAGGAGGAAGAGGAGGCUGUUAUAGUGAUAGAAGAGAAUGAACCUUUUAGAGAGGAAGAGGAUGCUGUCUCAAUAAAGGUGAAGGAGGAAGACAUUUUGGGAGUGAAAGAGGAGGAGACAGAAUAUCCGAUUACCAUCAGAGAGAGACAUGACUAUGGUGGAUCCUCUGGGGAGCCUCAACAACAUCCUGAUGCUGACGAGGCAGAGAAGAGUCUCUCCAGAUCAGAACACCAGAUGGUACAGCUUGGUCUGGUCUAGCAUACAGCUUGGUCUGGUCUAGCAUACAGCUUGCUCUCUCUGGGCUGGGUUUCUGUAAAGCACUUCAUGACAACAGUGGCAUCAGCAUCCAUAAUGAUGUGCGUCUGUGUCCCCUCUUUAUGGUUACCAGGACAACGCUAGCCCUUCCUCCCUCCCGGAGUCCCUGUGUCGUGCCUCUCCUGGUAGCACCUUAUUGCUGGGUAUGAAGAGGUUGUCUGUGCAGCUGGUGGACUGCAGGAAAACAACAGGGCUGAGUGGAACUGUGAGAGGAGGAGAAGAGAAGAAAGGAUCAGAUUUGACACAUCAAAGUAAGUGCUGUAGUUUAGUUUGAACAAAUACAAUAGAUCUGCCCACUGGUAUCUGUUACCAGGACAACCAGCAGAGUUCUGUUAGUUGACAG